CAUGGUGAUGGCCGCAGGCUUCAAACUUGCGGCGGCC
rnacentral:tRNA from 1 species